ensembl:lncRNA
CGCGGGCUCUGAGCGCGCCGCCACCCUCCCGCACCGCCCUCGCACACGCAGAUACCACUUUUAAAGAAGCCGAAGCGCUGCAGCCCACCGACGCCGAGUGAGCGCUGCCAGCUGUAGCCCUUGCUCUCCCUGUCUGCAGUUGAGCCCGGACCCUGGAAUAGAAAGACAGUUCUUGGUUGCACUGGAAGAAAGGGAAGGAAGACUCCUCUGUUCCCGAGGAAAGCAGAGCGGCUGCCCUAGUGAAGAAAUGAAGAGUCAAAGAAGUAAAGGAGGACCUAUCUCAAAAUCACGUAACUAGGGAAUCUUGAGGAGUUGUGCACUUUCCAUCCCCCAGACACCGCUCCCCUUCGGGGGAGGCUCUUACUUGCUUGAUAUAAAAGGCAAGCAGUUCUUGGCCUGUGAAACCCCAGUGGCAGUGCCUGGCUGUCAGUAUGCUGGCCCCAAUGUUGAUGGACGUGAUGGGCUUUGGCUCCAGGUUUCUCUCCUGAGACCACAGCAGAGAGUGCCUUGGAUGAAGGCUUGGACUUCUGGAUCGUCUGGUGACUUCAACUGUCUGGUAAGUUUUUCUGUUUCAUUACCACUGCUGAUAAUCAUUUCUCUUUUUCUUUUCACUUAAGCUUCAAUCAUUUCAGAAAAAGUGUUUUCUAAUUUUUUUUUUAACUGAGGGUGAAUUUAAUAGGGUGAAAAAUCAAUUUCAUAUUCAGGGUGCAAUGAUGUUCUUAAUCUUGAUAUUUGAUAUUUAACCUAGUGCUUUUGGAGAGCAUACCUAAAAAGGGCAACAACAGAACCUACCAUUGAGUCUUAGAUUCAAGAGGUCUCUGCUAGUGACCAGUUAUUAUGUGUGAUCAAUUUGUAAUCCUUAGAUAGAUCAUAUUAACGUAAAAAGAUACAGCCCCAGAGAAGUUGAGACAAUAACCAAACUUUAAAAAUAUUUUGCAUAUUAUGGUUGAGCUAUAAAAACACUGAAUGCAAUGAACUUUACUAC